ensembl:lncRNA
GGUGUUGUGUUGUGUGUGUGGUGUGUGGUGUUGUGUAGUGGAUGUGUGUGUGUGGUGUUGUGUGUGGUGUGUGUGGUGUUGUGUUGUGUGAGCAGUAGGUUGUGUAGUGGAUGUGUGGUGUUGUGUAGUGGAUGUGUGUGUGUGUGUGUGGUGUUGUGUAGGGGGUGUGUGGUGUUGUGUAGGGGGUGUGUGGUGUUGUGUGGUGUAGUGUGUGUGUGGUGUUGUGUAGUGUGUGUGUGGUGUUGUGUAGGGGGUGUGUGGUGUUGUGUAGUGGGUGUGGAGUGUUGUGGGUGUGUGGUGUUGUGUAGUGUGUGGUGUUGUGUGGUGUUGUGUAGUGUUGUGUAGUGGAUGUGUGGUGUGUGUGUGGUGUUGUGUAGUGUUUGUGUGGUGUUGUGUAGGGGAUGUGUGGUGUUGUGUAGUGUUGUGUAGUGUGUGUGUGGUGUUGUGUAGUGUUGUGUAGUGGGUGUGUGUGGUGUAGUGUAGUGUCGUGUAGUGGGUGUGUGGUGUUGUGCAGUGUUGUGUAGUGUGUGUGUGGUGUUGUGUAGUGUUGUGUAGUGGGUGUGUGUGGUGUAGUGUAGUGUUGUGUAGUGUGUGUGUGGUGUUGUGUAGGGGGUGUGUGGUGUUGUGUAGGGGGUGUGUGGUGUUGUGUAGUGUGUGUGUGGUGUUGUGUAGUGGGUGUGUGGUGUUGUGUAGUGGGUGUGUGGUGUUGUGUAGUGUGUGUGGUGUUGUGUGAGCAGUAGGUUGUGUAGUGGGUGUGUGGUGUUGUGUAGUGUGUGUGUGUGUUAUGUGUUGUGUAGUGUGUGUGUUGUGUUGUGUAGGGGGUCUGUGGUGUUGUGUAGUGUGUGUGUUGUGUUGUGUAGUGGGUGUGUGGUGUUGUGUAGUGGGUGUGUGGUGUUGUGUAGUGUGUGUGGUGUUGUGUAGUGUGUGUGUAGUGUAGUGGAUGUGUAGUGUGUGUGUGGUGUUGUGUAGUGGAUGUGUGGUGUUGUGUAGGGUGUGUGUGGUGUGUGUGUGGUGUUGUGUAGGAGAUGUGUGGUGUUGUGUAGUGGAUGUGUGGUGUUGUGUAGUGGAUGUGUGUUGUGUUGUCUGAGCAGUAGGUUGUGUAGGGGGUGUGUGUGGUGUUGUGUAGUGGGUGUGUGGUGUUGUGUAGGGGGUGUGUGGUGUUGUGUUGUCUGAGCAGUAGGUUGUGUAGUGGGGGUGUGUAGUGGGUGUGUAGGGGGUGUGUGGUGUUGUGUAGUGGAUGUGUGUGGUGUUGUGUAGUGGAUGUGUGGUGUUGUGUGAGCAGUAGGUUGUGUAGAGGAUGUGUGGUGUUGUGUAGUGAGUGUGUGGUGUUGUGUAGUGUGUGUGUGGUGUUGUGUAGUGGGUGUGUGGUGUUGUGUUGUGGAUGUGUGGUGUUGUGUAGUGGAUGUGUGGUGUUGUGUAGGGGGUGUGUGGUGUUGUGUAGUGUGUGGUGUUGUGUAGUGUGUGUGUGGUGUUGUGUAGAGGAUGUGUGGUGUUGUGUAGUGGGUGUGUGGUGUUGUGUGAGCAGUAGGUUGUGUAGUGGAUGUGUGGUGUUGUGUAGUGGGGGUGUGUAGUGGGUGUGUAGGGGGUGUGUGGUGUUGUGUGGUGGUGUGGUGUUGUGUGAGCAGUAGGUUGUGUAGAGGAUGUGUGGUGUUGUGUAGUGGGUGUGUGGGUGUGUGGUGUUGUGUGUGGUGUUGUGUAGUGUGUGGUGUUGUGUAGUGUGUGUGUUGUGUUGUGUAGUGGAUGUGUGUGGUGUUGUGUAGUGUGUGUGUGUGGUGUUGUGUAGUGUGUGUGUUGUGUUGUGUAGUGUGUGUGUAGUGUGUGUGUAGUGGGUGUGUGGUGUUGUGUAGUGUGUGUGUGGUGUUGUGUAGUGGGUGUGUGGUGUUGUGUUGUGGAUGUGUGGUGUUGUGUAGUGGAUGUGUGGUGUUGUGUAGAGGAUGUGUGUGGUGUUGUGUAGUGGGUGUGUGGUGUUGUGUAGUGGAUGUGUGUGGUGUUGUGUAGUGUUGUGUGGUGUGUGUGUGGUGUUGUGUAGGAGAUGUGUGGUGUUGUGUAGUGGGUGUGUGGUGUUGUGUAGUGGAUGUGUGUGGUGUUGUGUAGUGUUGUGUUGUGUAGUGUGUGUGUGGUGUUGUGUUGUCUGAGCAGUAGGGCCAAAUGUACAGUUUGUCUGGCCUAAAAUAGAAAUGGUCCAGGUGGCUGUGGACCCAGGUGGCUGUGGACCCAGGUAACCUGGCUUAUCUCUCCCCUGGUUUUGUCCAAUGCCAGUGGCCCAUCAUAUCUACAUUCAGUCUAGCUACAUGCCUUUAAAAGCUGGAUGGUCUGCUGCUUGCUACUUGUUUUCUGCUUGUUUUCUACGCCUCUGGGUGUUUCCUCAGUGUUGGGGGAGGCUCCUCCACCCCUGCCUUCUCCCAGAUCCACAUGAUCACAGUCAGAAUAAUAACGAUACUUAUUAUAUAAGAUAUACUAAAUUAUAUUAUAUAAGAAUAUACGAUCCUAUAACGAUACUUUUAGUGUGGUUAGCAUCUACAGCCACAGAUCUUUCCAGCCAGUCUUCCUCUUCUUCUCAUCAUCGUUGUCUCAGCAUCGUCAGUCUAUUCUAUCUAUUGUCCCUGCUAUUGCCUCAAGAAGCCACUGGGUGUUUCCCAAGGCUCUGUCCUUGGACCACUGAUCUUCUCCUUGUGCAUGCUACCCUUAGGUGCUGUCAUAAGGAAACAUGCCAAUUCACUUCCAUUGCUAUGGUGAUGACACCCAGCUUUACCUAUCCAUGAAACCUGAUUAAAUAAUGGUAUUGGUAUUAUUAUUAUUAUUAUUAUUAUUAUUAUUAUUAUUAUUAUUAUUAUUAUUAAUGGUACAUCUACUCAAUAUAGAAGCCUGCCUGUAAGAUGUCAACUCUUGGAUGGCUAACAACUUCCUGCUCCUUAACGCAGAUAAAACUGAGGUUAUGCCUAAACAAUGACACUAUCUAGCCAUCUACCAUGGCAUCUCAUUAACACCGAACAUUAGUAUCAAAAUCAUUGGUGUACUUAUCAAUCAAGACCUCCUACUUAAAAAAUCUGAAAAGUCCUAUCCCUCCAAGAUGCAGAAAAACGAAUCCACACUUUUAUUACGGUGCGACUAGAUUAUUGCAAUGCUCUCACGUCCGAAUGGUAGCCACAACUCAAUAAAGAGCCUCCAGCUUAUACAGAACGCGGCUGCUCACACACACACACACACACACACACACACACACACACACACACAGGUACUCAAUAAAGAGCCUCCAGCUUAUACAGAAUACGGCU